UCGAGAAUCUUCGGCAAUGGGCGCAAGCCUGACCGAGCGACGCCGCGUGCGGGAUGAAGGCCCUUGGGUUGUAAACCGCUGUCAGAGGGGAUGAAGUGCCGGAAAGCUAUCUUUCCGGUUUGACAUAGCCUCAGAGGAAGCACGGGCUAAGUUCGUGCCAGCAGCCGCGGUAAUACGAACUGUGCAAACGUUAUUCGGAAUCACUGGGCUUAAAGGGUGCGUAGGCGGCCAUGUAAGUAGGGUGUGAAAGCCCCCGGCUUAACCGGGGAAUGGCGCUCUAAACUGCAUGGCUGGAGUGAGAUAGGGGUGUGUGGAACUUCCGGUGGAGCGGUGAAAUGUGUUGAUAUCGGAAGGAACGCCGGUGGCGAAAGCGACACACUGGAUCUCAACUGACGCUGAGGCACGAAAGCCAGGGGAGCAAACG
rnacentral:rRNA from 1 species